GGGAUCGUAGCUCAGUCCGGUUAGAGCGCAGCCCUGUCAAGGCUGAGGUCGCGGGUUCGAGUCCCGUCGGUCCCG
rnacentral:tRNA from 3 species